GCGUGAGUGAUGAAGGCCUUCGGGUUGUAAAGCUCUUUUGCCAGGGACGAUGAUGACGGUACCUGGAGAAUAAGCCCCGGCUAACUUCGUGCCAGCAGCCGCGGUAAUACGAAGGGGGCAAGCGUUGUUCGGAAUUACUGGGCGUAAAGGGCGCGUAGGCGGCCGAUCAAGUCAGGCGUGAAAUUCCCGGGCUCAACCUGGGGGCUGCGCUUGAUACUGAUUGGCUUGAAUGCGGGAGAGGAUAGUGGAAUUCCCAGUGUAGAGGUGAAAUUCGU
rnacentral:rRNA from 1 species